UCAUUCAUUCAUGUAUAAUUUUCGUUCUUAAUCUGUUUCCAGAGAGAGAGAGAUGGGAAUGGAUCAGUCAAAUUCCACGCCAGCCGCGUUGUUGAUCUCUCGCAAGUCGCAGCACAGCAAUAAUUAUUGAUUUGAAUAUUCAAUUCAUCAUUCACGACUCGGUCGUUCAUUCCAUUUUCCGGUCUUCUCCUUCAUCAGGUCGUAUUUCAAUUUUCCUUGUUAAUAAUGGUAUCUUCAAGUUCAGUUCCAAUCAAUUGCCAAGGUUGAAAGUUGAAUUCAUUUAUUAUUUGAUUGAUCUGUGUAUGUGUGUGAAUUUUGCAUUCAGAGGUCCUUUUUCAGCUGGCUUCUGUGUGUGUUCGAGUAAGGUUUUAGGAGGAGUUAAUUACUUCGUUGCGUUUGAUUAGAGAUGACUAGCGUUUGGAGAAAUUUGCUGCCUGUUUCCGUGCCGAAGACCGGCGAGGAUCGCGACGACGAUUAUAGUGUCGAGUACUCCUUCGCUGUCGAAUACAGCGGUCCUCCGGUGACUGGCGAUAUUCCUCGAUUGAUUCCGAUCGACGACCGACGGAUUCCGACGGCGUUGGUGGCUAAUCUCUUUGGUGGUCAGUUGAGGAAGUCGUCUCUGCCGGUUAUUCAACCGAUUGAGAGAAAGAGCGCUCGAUCGAACAAAAAGUCGCCGGAAAAAGGAGAAGUUUCCGGCUCCGACGGUCGGUUUCCGCUGACUAAACCACGCGAAAUUGGGAAUUCUGGAAAGCUUAAUUCCGGAAAAUCUGACGGUUAUUCUGAUCGGGAUGGCGCAUUGGACGUAGCAGUUAGGGUUGGUAGUGAAUCCAGUAAACUUGUCGGCGCUCAAAGUUCUAGUAGUUCAGGUACGUUAGGGUUUUCCGACGGUCAUGAUGACUCCAAUCAGGUCUCCGGAAGCUCCGAGGUCGAGGACUUGGACGACGACGCUAGGGCUCGUGCGUCCAUUGAGUCUUCAAAUGAAGAAGUGCGCAGCCGUGCAAGUUCAGUUACCGGCGAACCUAAUAACAGAGUGCCUGUGGUAACUUUUCGCGAUUUUCCCACGAAUGAAUCCGGCGAAAGUGAUCCUGACGAGCUUGAGGCAUUGCCGGCGAGGAGACCAGAGGCUGCAGGUGAAAUGAAGAAAGGUUUGUGCAAUAAGUGCAACAAAAAGAACAGAUUCGCAGAGAGGGAAGUAUGCGUUGUUUGCAGUGCAAAGUAUUGCAGAAAAUGUGUGCUCAGAGCAAUGGGGUCUAUGCCGGAAGGGAGAAAGUGCAUUACCUGUAUUGGUUAUCCGAUUGACGAGUCGAACAGAGGAUCGCUCGGGAGAUGUUCGAGAAUGCUGAAGAGGAUGCUCACCAACGAUUUGAUCAAGCAAAUCAUGAGGGCUGAGACGUCGUGCGAAAUCAACCAGCUGCCGCCGCAUCUCAUCUCUGUAAAUGAUAAACCUCUGUCCAUGGAAGAGCUGGUUAUGUUGCAGAGCUGCCCCAAUCCUCCGAAGAAGCUUAGACCUGGGAAUUAUUGGUACGACAAAGUUUCUGGAUUUUGGGGGAAGGUUGGAGAGAAGCCAAGCCAGAUUAUCACAGCUCAAUUGUCUGUGGGUUAUCAAAUUCUGAGAGAUGCUAGCAACGGCAACACGAAUGUGCUGAUAAACAGCAGGGAAAUAACCAAACCAGAGCUGUGGAUGUUGCAGGCUGCAGGCAUCCAUUGCGAAGGGAGCCCGCACUUUUGGAUCACGGCCGAUGGAUCGUGUCAGCUUGAAGGCAUGAAUUAUGUGAUUGGAAAAUUGUGGGGGAAGAAAAGGGUCAGAAUUUUAUGUGCUGCUCUAUCCCUACCAUUUCCAUCUGAUAUUCCGAAUCCUGGUGAAGGUGUCGAUAAAGAUUGUAAUAAUUUGAAUCAAAAGAACCUCGAACAGGGCGCGAUGAACAGAUUUCUCCUAGUAGGCUGCGAUAAAUCAGGAACGAGCACUAUAUACAAGCAGGCAAGGGUUCUGUAUGGCGUUCCUUUCUCAGAUGAGGAGAAGCAAAGCAUCAAAACCAUAAUCCAACGAAAUCUGUACAGAUACAUUGCCAUUAUACUCGAGGCACGAGGAUAUUUAGAAGAAGAAGAUCAACCAUUAGAAAUAAGGAGGAAAAGAAUAGUGGAUCCCGGGCCUUCGACAUCAGGGAAUUCAGACCAUAUGAUUGAUAAUAAGGUCUACACAUUCAGUCCGCGGCUCGAAGCCUUUGCAAGCUGGCUACUUCAAGUUAUGACGUUAGGCAACUUGGAGGCCAUAUUCCCGGCUGCCACACGAGAGUAUUCGCCUUUAGUCGAGGAGCUGUGGAAAGAUAAAGCUUUUCAAGCUAUUUACAAAAGGAGAAACGAACUGAAUACGCUGCCUAGAGUCGCCAACUAUUUCCUGGAUCGGGCUGUUGAAAUUUCGCGAGUAGAAUACGAGCCCUCUGAAAUGGAUAUCCUGUACGCCGAGGGCAUAACUUCCGCCAAUGGAGUUGCAUCAAUGGAGUUUUCGUUCCCAAAAUCAUCAGAGGACGGAUACAUGGAAUCUUUGGAGCAGAAUGAUCGUCCACUCAGGUAUCAGCUGAUCCGAGUUCCUGCAAACAGCCUCGGCGAAAACAGCAAAUGGCUGGACAUGUUCGAAGACGUCGACUUAGUCAUCUACUGCGUUUCCAUGACCAUAUACGACGAAUACUACCAAGGCAGAAACAAGAUGAUGGAAACCAUGAAACACUUCGAGAGCAUGGUGGCUCAUCCGAGUCUGGCGGACAAAGAUUUCCUCCUGAUCCUGAAUAAAUCGGAUCUUCUGGAGGAGAAGCUCCAGCAAAAUCCUCUAACAGAGUGUGAGUGGUUCGAGGACUUCAAUCCGGUGAUGAGCAUGCAUCCGCAGAGCUCGAAUAACUCGAGCAUGUCGUCGCUGUCUCAGCGCGCGUUCCAUUACAUGGCGGUGAAGUUCAAAAGGCUGUUUGGUAAGCUGAGGGGGCAGAAGCUGUAUGUGGCGAUGGUGACGGGGCUGGAGGGGGAGAGCGUGGAUGGGGCGCUUCGGUAUGGAAGAGAGGUUCUGAAGUGGGGGGAUUAUGAGGGGGAGCAGUAUGAUAAUGAUAAUAAUAAUAAUAGGAAUGGUAUGAAUGAAUCAUCGUCGACGAUGGAGAGCGUGAGCAUGGAGGAUCCCAGCCGAAGCACUACUUGCAGUGGUUGAACUCUCUCUGCCUGCCUCUAACAAAAUAAGAUGAGGACUAAUAUGCAUGGUCAGGAUAAUACAGCUUCAAUCAGUUGGAGCUCUUUGUUUCAUCAGUCAGGCACAGGACCGGUGGGAUUGUGACUGUGAAUUUGUGAUCGCAGCGAGCCUGAGAGAUCUUUAAGAACAAAGCAAGAUUUUCGUUAGAUGAACAGAUAGCUGCAAGGACAUGAAUCCCACUAUAAGACUUCCGAUAAGCACAUGAGAUGCACGAGAAUUCAAUCCUCUGGCCUUCUGGUUCAAGAAAGAACGCAGCGAGCAAAGGCUGGAGCCAACGCCUGUAAUAACAUCUGUGCAGCGUCCCCCAAAACAUCUUUUGGACAUAACAAGCUGAAUUUGUUUCAUGGGGGCACACAUGGAUUUAGGUCCAAAUAACCUGCUCUGCAUAAGCGCCUUUCGCGCAGAACACUCAUCUGUCCAUAUGCAAACCUCAUUUCCCGGAAACUGAUGAGAUGAUUCACAAAGAACUUCCCUUUAUGGAGGGAGAAGCUUCUCCGGGUG